GCAAUUUUGGACAGAUUUGGGGAGGCCUCUGGACUAAGGAUCAAUGCCCUGAAAUGCGUUGCUUACCCGGUUAGAUGCGAGGGGUUUGACUUCCAGGAUAUCAUUCAGGACUUUGGUGGCACGACGGGAUCUCUUCCGUGUCGCUACCUUGGUCUCCCGCUUAGCUUCCGCAAGCUCAGGAGAAUUGAGGUCCUCCCACUCAUUGAGGGCAUGGCUGGCAGGCUUAAGGGAUGGAAAGGCAAAUUGAUGGCAAAACCUGGCAGGCUCACGCUAAUAAAUUAUGUGCUUACGUCCAUGGCCACUUAUUUCCUUACUAGUUUGUGA
rnacentral:rRNA from 1 species